GAGACUCUGUGCGCGUGCAUAUCAAUAAGCGGAGGAAAAGAAACUAACUAAGGAUUCCCCUCAGUAACUGCGAGUGAAGCGGGAAGAGCUCAAAUUUGAAAUCUUCAAGGUUUUACCUUGACGAAUUGUAGUUUAAAGAAGUGUUUUCUGUUGGUGUUUUGGUAAAAGUUCUCUGGAAUAGGACAUCAUAGAGGGUGAGAAUCCCGUAUUUGACCAUUACUUCCAGCGUUGUGAUACACUUUCAAAGAGUCGGAUUGUUUGGGAAUGCAGUCCAAAAUGGGUGGUAAAUUUCAUCUAAAGCUAAAUAUUGGCGAGAGACCGAUAGCGAACAAGUACCGUGAGGGAAAGAUGAAAAGAACUUUGAAAAGAGAGUUAAACAGUACGUGAAAUUGUCAAAAGGGAAGCGUUUGACACCAGUGUUGUUUUCUCGAAAAUCAAUUAAAAAGAGUUGGAUUUUGUAUUGUUAAGACCUUAUCAGCUUACUGUACUUUUUUCUUGCUCUUUUUAAUGCACUUUUCGUUUAACAAGUCAACAUCAAUUUCUUUUGUUGUAAAAGGGUCAUUGGAAGGUGGCUUUCACUUCGGUGAAAGUGUUUAUAGCCUUUGGCUUCUACAAUCGGAGAGAUUGAGGUCUGCAGCGUAGAUCCUUCGGGGUUAGAUACGUAGAUGCUAAGUUAUAGUUUUUUAUAGACAACUUGUUGACUAUGAUUAAUCAUGUAGCUUACUCGUUUACGCUAUUUUACCUACGCUUAGGAUGUUGACAGCAGUAUAGACUGU
rnacentral:rRNA from 1 species